rnacentral:lncRNA from 1 species
CUGUAACAGAAGAUGUUUAUCUAGCUUUAAUUUUAGGGCCUGGUUUCUAAAAAUCUUAAUUGACUCCUUUCAAAUGUAUUUUAUCUAGUGAUAAUGCUACAUUUCAAGCAACAAUUAGGACAGAUUCAUCUACUCAUGCUCCUCUCGCCACAUAACUCAGCACCAUGGACAGAGGUUCUCCCUAAUCCUGGAAAUUCUGUUGGACCUAUUAUCAAGGGAAGGUUUUACCCCAAGAUUUAUAAUCCUGUGCCAUAGUGUCAGCCUCAGGAAACAGAUGCAUCAGUUAAGCCACAGUCAUAGACAAGGGGGACCACCUAUUCUCAGGCAGCAAAGGGCAGCAGCCCUGCAGGGCUCUUGCCAGCCCUUAGAGCCCCUAAUUGUCCUCAGCUGGGCCUGCCUACUGCUAUUUAAGCUCCAGCUGAGGAGCAUUUCCUGUUAUUGCUUCUUCUGCUUGGCUGCUGGGGGAACUGGGCUUCAUCUUUGA